rnacentral:lncRNA from 1 species
CCACCCCAGCACGCGACGGGAGAACCACGCGCACGCUCGCGCACACGCGCGGCCCCGCGCCCAACGACGGCCCGGCCGGGCGUGACCCUCCCCGACUCGGAGGGGGGAGGCGCCGGCCGCGGUAGGCAAAGAGCGGCUCUGCCCACGCGCCACGGUGGUGGCGUCCGUGGCUACUACGCGCAGAGGAGGGGCGGCGGCUGGGGGUCCGGUACCCCAAGGCACCCUCUCGGAUCGCUAGAGAAGGCUUUCUCACCGAGGGCGUGUCGCCCCCGCCCAUCGUCCGCCAUCGGGCCCACCAACCAGCGCAGCGGUCACCUGAGGAGGGCGACGGGAACAGGGAACGACACCGCCAUCGGCCUCGGCGCCUGAGGGACGACCUGGAACACUCCAGGGGCACCGCCAACGGCCGGGGGAGCGCGCUCACGCGUCCAAGAAGGCGCGCGGCGCGGCGGCAACACGGCCGCCCCACCGUGGGGAGGGCCGCCCGCGAGACACAGCCAAGAGGCACAGGCGGAGCAUCCGCCGCGUCACGGAGACCCCGACACCGCCCACGCCACAAGGCACGGGGCGGGGGAGCGAGGUCGGGCCGGAUUCCGCACCCCUGCCACCUCCCACACGCCACUCGCAGCGGGGGAGAACGGGCGAGGGGGCCCGCGGGCAGAGCGAGAAGAGCGGUCCCGUUCGCCAUGAACGUCCGUCCCUCGUCUGGCACGGCUUAGGCCCGGCCCGGAGAGCACAGCAUCACCACAUCGAUCAGCAGCAUAACGCGAGGGAUCCCCGAGCAAGGGAAGGCCGGCGAGGACAGCGAGCGGAGGAGCCUGCUUCAGCCUCACCGGCCCCCCUCCUCCUC